GGCAUUUUGGCGGAGUGGUUAACGCGCUGGCCUGCUAUUGGUGUCCCGCAGUCCUCAAGGCUUCACCCCCCUGAGUUCCUAAAGACAAAUCAAGCCCUUAGCUGUAUAGCCAGUUCCUUCGGGAGCGUGAGUUCGAAUCUCACAGAUGUCG
rnacentral:tRNA from 1 species